GCUUCAGGUUUCAGAUCAGAGGUGACCCAGGUGCAAAAGUCAGCCUGGUGGCUGUGGACAACGCUGUGUAUCUUCUCAACAAGGACAGACUCACACAGAGGAAGCCCUGCAGUGUCCAGGCAGUACCAGAAGGAGACGCUCUGCUGAACUGUUGAAGCGUAAAGCUCAGCUGGUUGCCUGCUAAUCUUGAUUUGGAAGUAGAGGCUCGAGGAAAUGGACAAGGAAUACUAGAGUACAGGGAAAGACGACCACGGGUUGUGACCUAUUACAAUCAGCUGCAUGAGGUGGAAGAGAAAAUGCCCUGCAAGCACUUUGAUCUCAACGUCACUUUUGAAGGAUCCAGCGCAGGGCUCUAGGACCCGGAGACGUCAGGAUGGUGGUUCUUGAUAUCAGUCUACCAACUGGAUUCACCCCAGAAAACUCUGACCUGGAGAUGGUAAUCACCUUCUAGUGCUAGUGCAGAAAAAUCUGAAAGCUUGUGUCAAUGGUGUAUUUAAGUGUCUUUAAAAUGAAUGUAGUAUUUUAAAUAAAAGUUUGUAAAAAGUUUACUACAUCAUGAUAAUGACCUUCUAGUGGAUGAGACAUGAAUGAUCGCAUGUUUAGGGCGGCGGCGUUGCUAACUAGCUAACAGCUGACUCUGUUUAUGUGUGUGUCCAGCUGUCCAAUUCAGUGCAUCGUUACAUCAGUAACUUCCAGAUUGUAGACAACCUGAGUGACAGAGGCUCCCUGAUCAUUCACCUGUUCAAAUGUCCCUGAUCCCAGAGCUGGAUGCUUCAGAUCUGUGGUGGUUCUCCCACCAACUGGCCUAAUCUCCAUCUGUGGGAUGCUGCUGCUGCUGACCUUCCUCCAGCCCACUGCUUCCAGCUGCCCAUUUCCAUCAAUCUACUCUGCAUCACCCUCACUAUACUUGAUUUGCUCGUCUACAUAUUUUUGAAUUUACCACCAGCUAUAUAUGUAGUAUAUUUAAUGCCAGAGCCAUACACCGUAGCAGUAAACUAUAAUCAGUUUCCA